UAGGGAAUAUUGGUCAAUGGACGCAAGUCUGAACCAGCCAUGCCGCGUGCAGGAUGACGGUCCUAUGGAUUGUAAACUGCUUUUUUACGGGAAGAAACCCCUGGAUGCGUCCGGGGCUGACGGUACCGUACGAAUAAGGAUCGGCUAACUUCGUGCCAGCAGCCGCGGUAAGACGAAGGAUCCAAGCGUUGUCCGGAUUUACUGGGUUUAAAGGGUGCGUAGGCGGAAAUUUAAGUCAGUGGUGAAAGCCUCCCGCUUAACGGGAGAACUGCCAUUGAAACUGGACUUCUUGAAUAUGGUUGAGGUAGAUGGAAUAUAACAUGUAGCGGUGAAAUGCUUAGAUAUGUUAUAGAACACCGAUUGCGAAGGCAGUCUGCUAAGCCAUAAUUGACGCUGAGGCACGAAAGCAUGGGGAGCAAACAGG
rnacentral:rRNA from 1 species